AGNNNGCUUGCUUGGUGGAUCAGUGGCGAACGGGUGAGUAACACGUGAGCAACCUGCCCUGGACUCUGGGAUAAGCGCUGGAAACGGUGUCUAAUACUGGAUAUGAGCCUCUAUCGCAUGGUGGGGGUUGGAAAGAUUUUUCGGUCUGGGAUGGGCUCGCGGCCUAUCAGCUUGUUGGUGAGGUAAUGGCUCACCAAGGCGUCGACGGGUAGCCGGCCUGAGAGGGUGACCGGCCACACUGGGACUGAGACACGGCCCAGACUCCUACGGGAGGCAGCAGUGGGGAAUAUUGCACAAUGGGCGGAAGCCUGAUGCAGCAACGCCGCGUGAGGGAUGACGGCCUUCGGGUUGUAAACCUCUUUUAGCAGGGAAGAAGCGAAAGUGACGGUACCUGCAGAAAAAGCGCCGGCUAACUACGUGCCAGCAGCCGCGGUAAUACGUAGGGCGCAAGCGUUAUCCGGAAUUAUUGGGCGUAAAGAGCUCGUAGGCGGUUUGUCGCGUCUGCUGUGAAAUCCCGAGGCUCAACCUCGGGUCUGCAGUGGGUACGGGCAGACUAGAGUGCGGUAGGGGAGAUUGGAAUUCCUGGUGUAGCGGUGGAAUGCGCAGAUAUCAGGAGGAACACCGAUGGCGAAGGCAGAUCUCUGGGCCGUAACUGACGCUGAGGAGCGAAAGGGUGNGGAGCAAANAGGCUUANAUACCCUGGUAGUCNNCCCCNUAAA
rnacentral:rRNA from 1 species